rnacentral:tRNA from 1 species
GAAGAUGUAGCUCAGUUGGUAGAGUUUUUGCCUAACAUGCAUGAGGCCCUAGAUUCUCUUCUAGCACUUUA